rnacentral:misc_RNA from 1 species
UUUCCGUAGGUGAACCUGCGGAAGGAUCAUUGUCGAAACCUGCACAGCAGAGCGACCCGUGGACACGUUCAACCGACGAGCGGGGGAGGGCCGGGGGAGGACCCUCACUCGGCCGCCCCAGCUCGCGCCGGCCCGUGCGUGGCACUGCCAUUGCGCGCGGCGGGCAACCAACGAACUCGGCGCGGACUGCGCCAAGGAAACUGAAAAAAAGGAGCAUGCUCCCGGGGCCAUCGCAACGAUGCGCCUGCGGGUUGCACCCCUGCGAUAGCAAUAUAACGACUCUCGGCAACGGAUAUCUCGGCUCUCGCAUCGAUGAAGAACGCAGCGAAAUGCGAUACCUGGUGUGAAUUGCAGAAUCCCGUGAAUCAUCGAGUCUUUGAACGCAAGUUGCGCCCGAGGCCUUUCGGCCGAGGGCACGCCUGCCUGGGCGUCACGCGUCUCGUCGCCCCACGGCUCCCUUCCCCCGUCCAACGAGGGCUCUUGGGAUGCCGCCGUCAUCGAUUGGGGCGGAUGUUGGCCUCCCGCGCGUCACCGCUCGGUUGGCCGAAAAGAGGCAGCCCGCGUCGCACGGCACCUGGCGGUUGGUGGAUGACACUCGGUUUUGUCCCAUCGUCCUGCCGGCGCGACACGUAGUGCUGCGACGACCCUCGAACUUUUGGCCGCCUCGGCGGCCAACGGUUCCUCUUGCGACCCC